rfam:Paenibacillus larvae subsp. larvae DSM 25430, complete genome.
AAGAACCGUAUGAAUUGAGAGGUUCACGUACGGUUCUGUGAGAGCCUGAAGGUGAAACUCCUUCGGGCUACUUGAC